CUCGUAGGCGGUUCGUCGCGUCCGGUGUGAAAGUCCAUCGCUUAACGGUGGAUCCGCGCCGGGUACGGGCGGGCUUGAGUGCGGUAGGGGAGACCGGAAUUCCCGGUGUAACGGUGGAAUGUGUAGAUAUCGGGAAGAACACCAAUGGCGAAGGCAGGUCUCUGGGCCGUUACUGACGCUGAGGAGCGAAAGCGUGGGGAGCGAACA
rnacentral:rRNA from 1 species